rnacentral:ncRNA from 2 species
AAAAGAGGCCGCAACUGGCGAGGGUGGAGGACCACCGGGAAGCGGCUGAAGCAGCCUCGCACGGCGCCGCCCGCCUGGGCGCUGAGG